rnacentral:rRNA from 1 species
UAAUCUUAUCUGGUAAAGCGAAUGAUUAGAGGCCUUAGGGUCGAAACGACCUUAACCUAUUCUCAAACUUUAAAUGGGUAAGAACCUCACCUUUCUUGAUAUGAAGGUUGAGGUUGUGAUAUAAUGUGCCCAGUGGGCCACUUUUGGUAAGCAGAACUGGCGCUGUGGGAUGAACCAAACGUAAUGUUACGGUGCCCAAAUUAACAACUCAUGCAGAUACCAUGAAAGGCGUUGGUUGCUUAAAACAGCAGGACGGUGGACAUGGAAGUCGUAAUCCGCUAAGGAGUGUGUAACAACUCACCUGCCGAAGCAACUAGCCCUUAAAAUGGAUGGCGCUUAAGUUGUAUACCUAUACAUUACCGCUAAAGUAGAUGAUUUA